rnacentral:lncRNA from 1 species
GUCCCCAAAGCCUGCAUACAAUGCGUAAAAUCUGAUCCCCAUAGCCAAUCAGCCGAUAAAGUAGGCAUUGCUACCAUUGUCAUAACUUGUAUAAGCAACAAAGCCGUGACCUUGGAAAGCAACAUGACGGUUCUAGCUUCAAGCGUUCACGACAAGAAGUUGAAAUUGGUUCUCCAAGACUGCCAAAAAGAGUUUUCCGACGCGAAAACCAAUUUGACUACUGCGAUGGACCGGUUGAAGAACAAAGAUUACAAUCAAACCAAUUAUUUAGUGAAUCAUGCGCUCCAGGAAGAGUUUUAUUGUAAGAACAAUGUGGGGGAUUUACAGUAUACGCUUCCUACUACUAUCUUGAAUGACAUGACGCUUUAUGAAGAACUUUCGGAAGCAGCAAUGAGAAUAAUUGAUAGGUUUUUGUGGGUGUAAAAAAUGAAAUAAAAUAAAAAAAAUUAUAUUUGUUGAAUAAACUUAUAUAUAAUUUGUUUUAUCUCUUCUUCUUUUUUAAUUAUAUUUUUUGGAGUCUAUGUUGAUAUAAGGUCAAGCAAACUUUUCUUUAAAUCUUUAACGAUUAUUUAAAUAAAAAAUUAAUAUAUAUUUUUACAUGCAUUUACAAUUUCAAGCAAAAUUUUUAAUAUUUAAUGAUUAUUUAAACAAAAAAUAUUUUUUAAUUAUUAUUUGAUAUAUUAACGAAACUACUUCUAAACUUUACAAAAAUAAAAAAAUAGUCAAGGUUAGGGGGCGAAACCAGAAAUUUUCUAGGGGUCAAAAUUAAAUUGUAAUUUUUAAAAUGGCAAAAAUGUAAUUUUACUAUUUUAAUAGUUUAUAUCUUUAUCAUUUUUAAAUGAUUAAACCAAUUUUUUUAUAUGUUUAGGGAGGUCAGAGUACAACUUUACAUUUACAAAUUUUUAAAAAAAUUAAUGUCUAAAUGGAAAAAUUUUCAUUUUAGGGGGGUCGGAGCCCCUACCAGCCCAUAAUUUCAUCUUUGGUCCAGGUGACUUAUUUAUUUAAUAUUUACUUUUUUUAAUAUUAAUUUAAGAAAUGAAAAUUAGAUAACUUAGUGUAUCAAACAAUAUUUUAUAAACCAAAUAGUUGUAUAUUUAAGGAUAAUUAUGUUAUUUAUUUUUUAUAAAAAAGUUAAAUAAUAAAAAAGUGAAAAAUAAAAAAAUAAAGAAAAAUGAAGAUUAUUUGGUGGUUAAAGAAGUGAUUAAAUAAACACUAAAAAUUCUAUCACAUGCAUAUAUACGUGGAAAUCAUGUAUUUAGAAUACAUAUUAAUAUAUAUACAAUUGAUGAAUGUAAUAAAUUGUGCAUAAUAAAAUCAAAAUAUAUAAAAUAAAUUAAAAUUAAGUUGAGUUGUAAAUUGAAGAUUUUGAACAUGUCAAAUUAAAAUCUUAUUAUAGUGUCACUAAUGUCAUGUUAGAACACAUAAAUUUGGAACCAUAUAUAAUUGAAAACCUUUUCAAAAAAAGAAAAAGAACAAAGAGGAUACUUUAUUAUAAUAAACUUGAAUUAUUAUUUAAUUUAUUUAGGUCCAAAAAUUAUUAUUUUAGAAAAUUUUUAACUUACUUAAUAUAUUCCUUAAAAAUAUUUUUAACUUUUUUAAAAUAUAUAUAUGUGAAAAUUAUUUAAAAACAUUGACGAGGUGCAACAAAACAUAUAGAUACUGGUACGUACCAAUAUCAAGAUAAAAACCGCAUGCCCACCAGUCCGAUACUAAUUACUUCGAUCUCGACAUAUUUUUUUAAGUUUUAAGUUCAAUACAAACAAAGUAUAAAUAGCAGAAAUUCAAACAAUUACACAUGGUAACAACGAAUGAUGAGUCUCAAAUUUGGAUACUCAUAAAGGGUGAAUUUAAAGAGAUAAUUAGAGGGCUUGCUUCUCCCUCCAAAAUGAAAAAUUGGUAAUUUAGUCCAUUCAUAAAUUAUAAAUUAUAAAAUAUAAAUUAAUAAAUGAUAAAAUUGUAUUUUGACUCUAAAAUAAAAAUAAUAAUCAUUUUAAUUAUAAUAAAAUUAUAUAUAUUAAUAAACGAUAAAAUUAUAUUUUAAUAUCUUAUAAAAUUAUAAUUAAUUUCCAAUUUCUUAAAAGGAUUAAAUUCUGAAAAAAAUCUUUAUUUUUAUUAACUAUGCCAAAAUUUCAUUAGUAUAAUGUAUUUAAAUAUAAUUAAAGAACAUUAAAAUUAGUGCACAAAAGGCAAUUAAUUGCCAUAAUUAUUGAAUCCUAUUGAGAUUUUACAUCUUAUAUUUCUCUCAAUACAUGAAAAAACAUGUGAAUUUGGGAGUGUAACUCCAUAAUUUUAUACUGGUUAAAAUUUUAAAUUUUAGAUUUAACUGUUAAUAUUAUUUUUUAUUAAUUGCGAGGUUUUAAAAUAAAUAAUAAUUUAUUUAAUAGAAAUAUAAUUAAAAAAAUUAUUGUCAUUAAUUUGAAUUUAAUAAAAAAUAACAGUAUAAAUAAUUAAAUCUGAAAAGUAAAAGGAUUAAAUUCAUGAAAUAUAAUUACUUUACAUUUUUCUAAUUUAAACAUUAAAAAAAGAUAACAAUAACUAUAUAUAGAAAACUAUAAUAAAUAAAAAAACAUUAAAUAAUAAAUUAAAAUAAAUAUAAAUAUAUCUUUUAAAAAAUAAUAUUAGCAAACCUAAAAUGAUUUUAAGUUAAUUAUUUAUAAAUAUGAGUAGGUUUUAUAAAAUUUUAAGUUUAAAUCGGAUCGAAACGAAUUUAAAUAAAUAUAAAAUAUAUUAAUAUCAUAUUUAAACCCGACUAAUAAAAACCUUUACAUGAAAGUGAAUGCAAACAAAAUGAAAUUAAUUGCAAUAAUGAUUACAUCUAAUGCAUGAAAUCCUGUUGAGAUUUUGUUGUUUAAUUUUCCUCUCAAAACAUGAGAAGAGUGUGAAUUUGGAAGUGUAACUGCAAAUUUAGACCAAUCACCUUAUAUGCCAAUUCCAACCACCACUCCUUAGUGCAACCCCACUUAUUUUUACACAUUUUAAAAAUAUAUAUUUCCUUUAUUUGACAAAAUAAAAAUAAUUGUUCCAAAUUAUGGUAAUAUUUAAUAAUAUUAUUUUAUUUAUUAUACAUAACCCAUUAUUGGAUUAUGAUUUUUUAAUCAAUAUUAUUUUUUAAAAUUUGUAAAUAUUAUUUAAUAUAUUAAAAACUUAACAUUUAAUUUUUUUAAGGACUUAGCACUAAGCAUUUGAACCUAAUAAAUCCUAAUAAAUGAAUUCUUAAGCAUAUUAUAAAUAUAUAAAUAAUUAACAAUACCAAAAAGAGUUCUCAUUGAACUUAACAAGAAUCAUCUCCAUGGAAAUUAUUUUGCCUCUUUUUCUUCUUCUUUUGAUUUCCUUCAACUACAUGGGUCAUCAGAAUCUUGUUUCUGCCGACGACACCUUGAUUAAAACCUAAUGCCAUAAUGCGGAAGUCCCCGAAGUCUGCAUACAAUGCGUAAAAUCCGAUCCUCGAAGUCAUUCAGCUGAUAAAGUAGGCAUUGCUGCCAUUGUCAUAACUUGUAUAAGCAACAAAGGUGUGACCUUGGAAAGCAACAUGACGGUUCUAGCUUCGAGCGUUCACGAUAAAGACCUAAAAUUGGUUCUCCAAGACUGCUAGAAAGAGCUUUCCGACGCAAAAACCAAUUUGACUACUGCAAUGGAUCGGUUGAAGAGCAAAGAUUAUGAUCAAACCAAUUAUUUAGUGAAUCAUGCGCUCCAGAAAGAGUUUGAUUGUAAGAAAAAUGUGGGGGAUUUGCAAUAUACGCUUCUUACUACUGUCUUGAAUGAUAUGACGCUUUAUGAGGAACUUUCGGAAGCAGCAAUGAGAAUAAUUGAUAGGUUUUUGUGAGUGUGAAAAAUGAAAUAAAAUAAUAAUAACAUUAUAUUUGUUGA